rnacentral:rRNA from 1 species
ACCCAGACUCCUACGGGAGGCAGCAGUGGGGGAUAUUGCACAAUGGGGGAAACCCUGAUGCAGCGACGCCGCGUGUGGGAAGACGGUCCUCUGGAUUGUAAACCACUGUCCCCAGGGACGAAGAUGACGGUACCUGGGGAGGAAGCCACGGCUAACUACGUGCCAGCAGCCGCGGUAAUACGUAGGUGGCGAGCGUUGUCCGGAAUUACUGGGCGUAAAGGGAGCGUAGGCGGGAGUGCAAGUUGAAUGUAUAAACUAUCGGCUCAACUGAUAGAAGCGUUCAAAACUGCACUUCUUGAGUGAAGUAGAGGCAGGCGGAAUUCCUAGUGUAGCGGUGAAAUGCGUAGAUAUUAGGAGGAACACCAGUGGCGAAGGCGGCCUGCUGGGCUUUAACUGACGCUGAGGCUCGAAAGCGUGGGUAGCAAACAGGAUUAGAUACCCGCGUA